ACCCCAGACUCCUACGGGAGGCAGCAGUGGGGAAUAUUGCACAAUGGGCGCAAGCCUGAUGCAGCCAUGCCGCGUGUAUGAAGAAGGCCUUCGGGUUGUAAAGUACUUUCAGCGGGGAGGAAGGGGUUAAGGUUAAUAACCUUAGCCAUUGACGUUACCCGCAGAAGAAGCACCGGCUAACUCCGUGCCAGCAGCCGCGGUAAUACGGAGGGUGCAAGCGUUAAUCGGAAUUACUGGGCGUAAAGCGCACGCAGGCGGUCUGUCAAGUCGGAUGUGAAAUCCCCGGGCUCAACCUGGGAACUGCAUUCGAAACUGGCAGGCUGGAGUCUUGUAGAGGGGGGUAGAAUUCCAGGUGUAGCGGUGAAAUGCGUAGAGAUCUGGAGGAAUACCGGUGGCGAAGGCGGCCCCCUGGACAAAGACUGACGCUCAGGUGCGAAAGCGUGGGGAGCAAACAGGAUUAGAUACCCUAGUAGUA
rnacentral:rRNA from 1 species